rnacentral:rRNA from 1 species
GCUCAGGACGAACGCUGGCGGCGUGCUUAACACAUGCAAGUCGAACGGUGAUCUUGAGAGCUUGCUCUUGGGUGAUCAGUGGCGAACGGGUGAGUAACACGUGAGUAACCUGCCCCAGACUCUGGAAUAACCUCGGGAAACCGUGGCUAAUACCGGAUACGAAACGGAGCUGCAUGGCUGCCGUUUGGAAAGUUUUUCGGUUUGGGAUGGACUCGCGGCCUAUCAGCUUGUUGGUGAGGUAAUGGCUCACCAAGGCGACGACGGGUAGCCGGCCUGAGAGGGCGAUCGGCCACACUGGGACUGAGACACGGCCCAGACUCCUACGGGAGGCAGCAGUGGGGAAUAUUGCACAAUGGGCGAAAGCCUGAUGCAGCGACGCCGCGUGAGGGAUGACGGCCUUCGGGUUGUAAACCUCUUUCAGCAGGGAAGAAGCGAAAGUGAC